AAGCAUGAAGUGAAGAGGAAAGGAAAGAACACAAACCCUAGGUGGGAAAAUUGAAGAAAAAGUGUGGGAUUUAAAGGGAUUAAGCUAAUAAAGGUAAAAUUUUGUGAUUUUAUCUUGUGAUUUACACUACCCAUGCUUUCUUUUUCAUUUUCCAUGCUUAGAACUCAAGUUUGCAUGAUGAACCCAUGCUGGCCGAAUUUGAGAGGAGAGAUUUUGAGCAUUGAUUUUGCUAGAUUUCAAGCUAAUUAAGUGUUUUUGGUUGUUUGGUAAUGGAAAGUACGAAAAUCUAGCAAGGAAUCACUUUGUUCUUCACAAACCCACAAGAGGCUGAAUUUUCUAGGGAGGAUAUUGAGGCUAAAAUUGAUGAUAUUUCAUGAGAUUCUAGUGGUAUUUAAUGAUUGGUGAGGCUAGAAAUUUAAUACAAAUUUUGGCAUGAAAAUCUGAAUUUUUACCUAAUGUACAAACAUGUGCAAUUUAUGGUUCGGACUGAUUAAUUGAAUCAUAUUCACAGUCAUUGAGGUAUUUAAAGUAUAAUUGAAGUGUAGAAAGUGAAAGAAAUUGAUUUGCAGUUAAAUUGGAGGUUUUAGCCAAUUACACCGAGAAUAACGCGAAUUAGGUCAAAUAUCGUAUUUAAACGGCUAUUCGAACAUUUUGCAUCACAUUUUGUGCAUUCAUAUAGAUUUAUAAAGCCUGAAAUAGUUUAUGAUAAGUUGACACAAUUUAUUGAAAUUUGUGUCACGUAUGAUGUAUAGGUGGUGAGCCCUCUAACAAAGGUAAAGAGAUUGUGCCCAAAGAUCGGGAAUAGGAGUAUAUCGAACUCCUAGUACUAUGAGUAACCUUACUAUCGUCUUAAUUAUCUAAAGUGAUUUUUAUUCGAUUUUGUGAAUUUCAUGGAAAAUGAAUUAAAUGAUUAAUUUUUUCGAUUUUAUAAACCAAAUGUGAUUUAAUGAAAUGAUUUCAUAAAAUUGUUUUAAAAUUGAAUAAUGGCUUUGAAAAUAGAGUAAUUGGAGACCAUUUGAUGUAUUAUGAAUUUAUGGUUCUAAUUGAUUAGCUUAUGACAAUAUUGGCAUGAAUGGCUAAAUUGGUGUUUGUGUUGAAAUGUAUAAACUGUUGUUUGCCUUGAUAGGCUGGAUAAUGGUAAAAUUGCCAUGUUAUGCUGUUGAAUUUUUAUUGUUUGGUGGGUUUAGCUUGUUGCAGUGGGCUGGUUCUGUGGACUAGCCUAUUAGAGGGGCACGAAACCUGGUCAUAUUCUUACCUCGGUUGGAAAGACGAGUAGGGUAACUCCUGAGGUAUAACUUUAAGGUUCACUUCACCUUAAACCACCUCGUGAUGAUGAACUCCGCUAACGCCAAGGAACGGCUAUGUUUUUAAAAUAAAAACAUGAUUUAUGCGUACAUAACUUUUUAACAGCCUUGGCGGUCUCGAUUGGGAUAGCCCUCGAUCAAGGCAUCCCUGAUAACUGAGUAUAAAAAUGAUUUUGGCAAUAGCCAAAGCUUUUAAGAAAUUCAUAAGCCAUGUUAAUUACUUGAUUUAUAUGAAUUAAUUUUAUUUGGUUGAAACAAGUUGAAAGGUGAUGAAUUUCAGUAUGUUAAACUGUUUUAUCUGUCUCCAUUUACUCGACUUUAGAUAGUUUAGAUGGUAUCUGUUUACUCAUUGGGAUUUUAUAAUCUCACCACCCUCCUUUUCAACUAUUUCAGGCCUGAGGUAGCCUGUGGAUAGCAGAUAUCGUCAAGGAUUAUAGUUAGCUUUACUACUCCAAAAACUGUAGGUUUACUACCUUUGUGCACUUUUGUUCCUUGUGGGCCCACGAGUCACUGUAAAGUAAAUUUCAUAUCCCGGUUAUCUGUAUUAUAGUACGUAUGAAUUUAUUUAGCUUUUACAUUACAAAAAUUAUUUACCGAUGACUCUCUAAAUAUUGUUUUACAAGAAAUUAGAAUAUUUUAUU
rnacentral:lncRNA from 1 species